rnacentral:rRNA from 2 species
AGAGUUUGAUUCUGGCUCAGAACGAACGCUGGCGGCGUGGAUAAGACAUGCAAGUCGAACGAGAGAAUUGCUAGCUUGCUAAUAAUUCUCUAGUGGCGCACGGGUGAGUAACACGUGAGUAACCUGCCCCCGAGAGCGGGAUAGCCCUGGGAAACUGGGAUUAAUACCGCAUAGUAUCGAAAGAUUAAAGCAGCAAUGCGCUUGGGGAUGGGCUCGCGGCCUAUUAGUUAGUUGGUGAGGUAACGGCUCACCAAGGCGAUGACGGGUAGCCGGUCUGAGAGGAUGUCCGGCCACACUGGAACUGAGACACGGUCCAGACACCUACGGGUGGCAGCAGUCGAGAAUCAUUCACAAUGGGGGAAACCCUGAUGGUGCGACGCCGCGUGGGGGAAUGAAGGUCUUCGGAUUGUAAACCCCUGUCAUGUGGGAGCAAAUUAAAAAGAUAGUACCACAAGAGGAAGAGACGGCUAACUCUGUGCCAGCAGCCGCGGUAAUACAGAGGUCUCAAGCGUUGUUCGGAAUCACUGGGCGUAAAGCGUGCGUAGGCUGUUUCGUAAGUCGUGUGUGAAAGGCGCGGGCUCAACCCGCGGACGGCACAUGAUACUGCGAGACUAGAGUAAUGGAGGGGGAACCGGAAUUCUCGGUGUAGCAGUGAAAUGCGUAGAUAUCGAGAGGAACACUCGUGGCGAAGGCGGGUUCCUGGACAUUAACUGACGCUGAGGCACGAAGGCCAGGGGAGCGAAAGGGAUUAGAUACCCCUGUAGUCCUGGCAGUAAACGGUGCACGCUUGGUGUGCGGGGAAUCGACCCCCUGCGUGCCGGAGCUAACGCGUUAAGCGUGCCGCCUGGGGAGUACGGUCGCAAGAUUAAAACUCAAAGAAAUUGACGGGGACCCGCACAAGCGGUGGAGUAUGUGGCUUAAUUCGAUGCAACGCGAAGAACCUUACCUGGGCUUGACAUGUAAUGAACAACAUGUGAAAGCAUGCGACUCUUCGGAGGCGUUACACAGGUGCUGCAUGGCCGUCGUCAGCUCGUGUCGUGAGAUGUUUGGUUAAGUCCAGCAACGAGCGCAACCCCUGUUGCCAGUUACCAGCACGUGAAGGUGGGGACUCUGGCGAGACUGCCCAGAUCAACUGGGAGGAAGGUGGGGACGACGUCAGGUCAGUAUGGCCCUUAUGCCCAGGGCUGCACACGUACUACAAUGCCCAGUACAGAGGGGGCCGAAGCCGCGAGGCGGAGGAAAUCCUAAAAACUGGGCCCAGUUCGGACUGUAGGCUGCAACCCGCCUACACGAAGCCGGAAUCGCUAGUAAUGGCGCAUCAGCUACGGCGCCGUGAAUACGUUCCCGGGUCUUGUACACACCGCCCGUCACAUCAUGGAAGCCGGUCGCACCCGAAGUAUCUGAAGCCAACCGCAAGGAGGCAGGGUCCUAAGGUGAGACUGGUAACUGGGAUGAAGUCGUAACAAGGUAGCCGUAGGGGAACCUGCGGCU